rnacentral:rRNA from 1 species
GACGAACGCUGGCGGCGUGCUUAACACAUGCAAGUCGAACGAAGAGCGAUGGAAGCUUGCUUCUAUCAAUCUUAGUGGCGAACGGGUGAGUAACGCGUAAUCAACCUGCCCUUCAGAGGGGGACAACAGUUGGAAACGACUGCUAAUACCGCAUACGAUCUAAUCUUGGCAUCGAGGAUAGAUGAAAGGUGGCCUCUACAUGUAAGCUAUCACUGAAGGAGGGGAUUGCGUCUGAUUAGCUAGUUGGAGGGGUAACGGCCCACCAAGGCGAUGAUCAGUAGCCGGUCUGAGAGGAUGAACGGCCACAUUGGGACUGAGACACGGCCCAGACUCCUACGGGAGGCAGCAGUGGGGAAUCUUCCGCAAUGGACGAAAGUCUGACGGAGCAACGCCGCGUGAGUGAUGACGGCCUUCGGGUUGUAAAGCUCUGUUAAUCGGGACGAAAGGCCUUCUUGCGAAUAGUUAGAAGGAUUGACG